rnacentral:rRNA from 1 species
UGCAGUCGAGCGGAACGAUCCUAGCUUGCUAGGAGGCGUCGAGCGGCGGACGGGUGAGUAAUGCAUAGGAAUCUGCCCGGUAGUGGGGGAUAACUUGAGGAAACUCAAGCUAAUACCGCAUACGCCCUACGGGGGAAAGCAGGGGCUCUUCGGACCUUGCGCUAUCGGAUGAGCUUAUGUCGGAUUAGCUGGUUGGUGAGGUAACGGCUCACCAAGGCGACGAUCCGUAGCUGGUCUGAGAGGAUGAUCAGCCACAUCGGGACUGAGACACGGCCCGAACUCCUACGGGAGGCAGCAGUGGGGAAUAUUGGACAAUGGGGGCAACCCUGAUCCAGCCAUGCCGCGUGUGUGAAGAAGGCCCUCGGGUUGUAAAGCACUUUCAGCGAGGAAGAAUGCUUGUCGGUUAAUACCCGGCAAGGGAGACAUCACUCGCAGAAGAAGCACCGGCUAACUCCGUGCCAGCAGCCGCGGUAAUACGGAGGGUGCGAGCGUUAAUCGGAAUUACUGGGCGUAAAGCGUGCGUAGGCGGCUUGAUAAGCCGGUUGUGAAAGCCCCGGGCUCAACCUGGGAACGGCAUCCGGAACUGUUAGGCUAGAGUGCAGGAGAGGAAGGUAGAAUUCCCGGUGUAGCGGUGAAAUGCGUAGAGAUCGGGAGGAAUACCAGUGGCGAAGGCGGCCUUCUGGACUGACACUGACGCUGAGGUACGAAAGCGUGGGUAGCAAACAGGAUUAGAUACCCUGGUAGUCCACGCCGUAAACGAUGUCGACUAGCCGUUGGGGUCCUCGAGACCUUUGUGGCGCAGUUAACGCACUAAGUCGACCGCCUGGGGAGUACGGCCGCAAGGUUAAAACUCAAAUGAAUUGACGGGGGCCCGCACAAGCGGUGGAGCAUGUGGUUUAAUUCGAUGCAACGCGAAGACCUUACCUACCCU